CAGGGGGAGGCUUCGGCCUGAGAUGUCUUUUUUGCGAACCCCUAGAACCUGAUCCGGUUAAUACCGGCGUAGGAAUGGACAUUCUU
rnacentral:ncRNA from 1 species